rnacentral:pre_miRNA from 1 species
UGAGCCCCUCCAGGGUAAGUGGAAGGACGGUGGGCCCCAGCACAUGUGCUUUCUUCGUGCCGUUUGCCCGCGGACCACCCGCCCCCGUCUCGCGACCCCUUCGCCGAGC